UACGUAGGGCGCAAGCGUUGUCCGGAAUUAUUGGGCGUAAAGAGCUCGUAGGCGGCUUGUCACGUCGAUUGUGAAAGCCCGAGGCUUAACCUCGGGUCUGCAGUCGAUACGGGCUAGCUAGAGUGUGGUAGGGGAGAGCGGAACUCCUGGUGUAGCGGUGGAAUGCGCAGAUAUCAGGAAGAACACCGGUGGCGAAGGCGGCUCUCUGGGCCUUACCUGACGCUGAGGAGCGAAAGCGUGGGUAGCGAACAGG
rnacentral:rRNA from 1 species